rnacentral:tRNA from 1 species
GCGGGCGUAGCUCAAUGGCUAGAGCGUCAGCCUUCCAAGCUGAAUGUUGUGGGUUCGACUCCCAUCGCCCGCU